GCAAACGAGAGGCUGAUGUCCAAGACAACAUCCAACCUGCGUCUGAAAGUCAAGACAAGACUCCCGAGAAAGAUUGCCCUUGAAGAGCUAACGCACCUGCCAUCAGGGCUUGCAAAAUGAGUCACAUUUCUUUAACUUUUCCACAUAUAGUCACAUUACAA